GACGAACGCUGGCGGCGCGCUUAACACAUGCAAGUCGAACGGAAAGGCCUGCUUUCCCUUGUGGAUUUCGGGUACUCGAGUGGCGAACGGGUGAGUAACACGUGAGUGAUCUGCCCCCAACUUGGGUAUAAGCCUGGGAAACUGGGUCUAAUUCCCGAUAGGACUGCAGGGUGGUGCCGUUGGUGGAAAACGAUUUUCUAGUGGUUGGGGAUGAGCUCGCGGCCUAUCAGCUUGUUGGUGGGGUAAUGUCCUACCAAGGCGGCGACGGGUAGCCGGCCUGAGAGGGUGGACGGCCACAUUGGGACUGAGAUACGGCCCAGACUCCUACGGGAGGCAGCAGUGGGGAAUAUUGCACAAUGGGCGGAAGCCUGAUGCAGCGACGGCGCGUGGGGGAUGACGGCCUUCGGGUUGUAAACUCCUUUCGACCGCGAGGAAGCCACCUGGUUGGAAGGGUGGUGACGGUAGUGGUAGAAGAAGCACCGGCUAACUACGUG
rnacentral:rRNA from 1 species